rnacentral:rRNA from 1 species
GACGAACGCUGGCGGCGUGCCUAAUACAUGCAAGUAGAACGCUGAAGAGAGGAGCUUGCUCUUCUUGGAUGAGUUGCGAACGGGUGAGUAACGCGUAGGUAACCUGCCUUGUAGCGGGGGAUAACUAUUGGAAACGAUAGCUAAUACCGCAUAACAAUGGAUGACACAUGUCAUUUAUUUGAAAGGGGCAAUUGCUCCACUACAAGAUGGACCUGCGUUGUAUUAGCUAGUAGGUGAGGUAAUGGCUCACCUAGGCGACGAUACAUAGCCGACCUGAGAGGGUGAUCGGCCACACUGGGACUGAGACACGGCCCAGACUCCUACGGGAGGCAGCAGUAGGGGAUCUUCGGCAAUGGGGGCAACCCUGACCGAGCAACGCCGCGUGAGUGAAGAAGGUUGUCGGAUCGUAAAGUUCUGUUGUAAGUCAAGAACGGGUGUGAGAGUGGAAAGUUCACACUGUGACGGUAGCUUACCAGAAAGGGACGGCUAACUACGUG